rnacentral:rRNA from 1 species
AGCGAACGCUGGCGGCAGGCCUAACACAUGCAAGUCGAACGAACUCUUCGGAGUUAGUGGCGGACGGGUGAGUAACACGUGGGAACGUGCCUUUAGGUUCGGAAUAACUCAGGGAAACUUGUGCUAAUACCGAAUGUGCCCUUCGGGGGAAAGAUUUAUCGCCUUUAGAGCGGCCCGCGUCUGAUUAGCUAGUUGGUGAGGUAAAGGCUCACCAAGGCGACGAUCAGUAGCUGGUCUGAGAGGAUGAUCAGCCACAUUGGGACUGAGACACGGCCCAAACUCCUACGGGAGGCAGCAGUGGGGAAUCUUGCGCAAUGGGCGAAAGCCUGACGCAGCCAUGCCGCGUGAAUGAUGAAGGUCUUAGGAUUGUAAAAUCCUUUCACCGGGGACGAUAAUGACGGUACCCGGAGAAGAAGCCCCGGCUAACUUCGUG